UGCCAGCCUCGCCUCCGCCUGUGACACACAACAUGAACACACCUGUCAAUCUCAAAUGGAAACUUAUAAAAAGACUGGCCCAUCCAGCCUUGCUCUCUGACUGCCACAUCAUGGGCCUGAGAAGGUAACCCGAGCAGUAGAAGUUCGCCAUUAAACACUCCUCCUACACUUGAGGCAAUAAGAUUAAUCCACCAUAUGAUCACCUGGGAUAUUCACCAAAAUUCAGAGGUCGGCCUUAUCGAUGGGGCUCGGGGGUCCAGACCCACCCAAUAAAGUCGGUGUACCCCUUCAUCGGAUUUCUACUGAUAUCCUUCAACUAGAACUUGAACACCUGUAAGGGAUUUUCACGCGGAGAACCUGUGUGGGAAUUUCCUGACUGACACCCAUAACACAGGAACACAGCACAAGGAGUGGACAAAUCCUGGGGGGAGGGUAGUCCCCUCAGAGCUGUGCAGGCAGACUGCAGAUAGACUGGAGGUGCUGGGAGCUGAAUUUGUCGGUAUUAAACUACAUGUCAUCUAAAACAACAGUUUCUACAAGGUUUUGUGCUGCAGAGAGUUCAAGCUUUCCAGUAUAAUGCCAUCAGCUGUUUGAUAACUUCCAUUUUUGUAUUCCUUCUCUAAUCUCCAAGGCAAGCUUACUGUUACCCCAUGUUCUCGACUAUUUCUUGUCCUUCUUGAUCUAUGAUUUCCCCCAAACUCUAUUAAACACAUGGUUACAGGAAUGCUGUGUUAAACAUUUUAACAGCUAUCCUCAAGAUGAGCGCUGGCUGGACUUGAUUAAUUGCUACGGGAGUCUCAGCCAACACGGGAAACUGAAGUGCACGCAUAUAACAAAGUCUAAACACAAAGUAACUUUAGCAACAAUCGCAAGACUUUUAGUUAACAAUCUGAGUGCAUUCCUGUGAGUCUUUGUGCGCACCAAAGACAAAAGUUUGUUCAGUAACUAAUGAUUAAAUGCAAAGUUGUGUAAAAAAUACAUAGAGAGUGAAAAGAGGUGAGUGGAGAAGAAACACUCAGUGCAUCAUGGGAAGCCCCCAACAGCCUAAGCAUACUGCAGUAUAACUAAGAGAGGGUUCAGGGUCACCUAAGCAAGCCAUAAUUAUAAGCAAAAAGGAAAGUUUUAAGCCCAAUAUUAAAAGUGUAAAGGGUUUUCUGUCUCCUGAUUUUAAACUGGGAGCUGGUUCAACAUCUUAAUAAACUGUAAUCAACUAUAUUAUAUUAUAAACAUCUACUGUAGGUUGCUAAUAAUAUGUUUUUCGUUCCCUCACAAAGAAGAGCACUUUGCCAUACAUUUCCUGUAUUUUUACAGUUUUUCCUGUAUUUUUACGGUUUUGUUAUUAUAGCCAGUAUUACUUGUUUGUUCAAUCAUAAGUGAUGCCGGUCACUUGCCUUACGAUGCCACAUAAUUAUGCAGUAAACAAGUAUCGGGUAGUUUUGCAAAUAAUCUGUUUGAACCUGGUCGUAGAGCUCAAAAUAAGUUCACACAGCUCCUAAUGAGAUAUAUUUGCCUGUCCCUAAAGAUUGUAAUCAGUAACAUAACCAGCACUUAUGGCCUCAACACCCAGCUGACAAUGGUUGUGCAGAAUAUAGAGUUUUGGCAGAAAACAACAACAAAGCAAUUAUCUUUAAGAGCUCUGCAAAGUAUCAGCUGGACAUUCUUCGACGAUACGUGAGUUAACAUUUAGAGAGGCAUCUCUGGUAAACAGAUUGGGCAAACCGAGUAGAUCAUAAACGUGGUCUUAAAAGGUGCCUUUUGAUGUUUUUCGGCUUGCAGUCUGGACACCUGUGGGGUUGAACCCGGUGACUGGCUGUCCUAUGUGAGCAUGGUGCGCAGGGGUAAUUGGGUCAUUGCGCAGCAAGAAAUAAAGCUUGAGGUAAUGCUUAAGGCAGUGGAAAUUUGUUUUAAUUGCUCCGUGCAUGAAAAAGUGCUGUGGUGUGGUGUAAGUGCAGAUUUAACAUCUCAUUUCAUUUCAUCUUUUGUUAAAUUAAAAGCAAACAAACAUCAAAAUUAAUUUGAUAAUUUGUUCGUGUGACUUUGCCCCUGCAAACUUACAUUCAUAACACCACACACGGAUGCUUUUUUUUCAGUUAGCUGUCAUAAGUGAUAUAUGCUGUAUGGGUUCUAUUUGUAUUGGAUUGUCCUUUGUCAGUCAAGCAUUGUGGACGUCUGUAGCUGAUCCACUCUCUUGGCUUCUCCGAGUGAGCGUUAGUGAUGCGGGGUGUGUCAUUCCGGCCUGUGCUGAUUGCAAAACAAGAAUCAGGGGAGCGUGAAGCUGCAGACAAGCUGCAUACACACCCAUUUCAUUGUUGAUGACCACACCGGAACAACUUAGAGUAGCAGAAAAGGCUCGCGGCAAAGAAAGUCAAUCAAGGACUGCAGACUUGUAGAGGCUCAUUGAUCAUAUUGUGUCUUUGUUUUGAUGGAUAUGAGAACCUUGUGUACUCCAGAUGGCACGUUAGCACACUUUCUCCGCUUGUUUGUCUUCAUUCAUUUUGUGAUGUCUGAAUGAUAGCGUGUGACCUUUCGCAGUAAGAAUUUCUGGGUAAAAGCGAGCCAUAAAUAAGACAGCUGUCACGCAGGCAGCUCUGCGCACUCGCCCCGUGCAUUUGUGUGUCUGGAGCACUUUUGCAAAAAGGCAAACAUUUAAAUGUCUAUAAUUCUUUAUUUGCUUGUGUUUAGCAUCUUCCUGCCUCCCACCUUUUACAAAGAGAGUGGUUUGAGUAAUCCUCUUUGCGGGGUAGGCUGGGCUUAUUUGCCAGUUGACAUUUGGUGAAAGGGUGUUAGAUGAAAAAAAGCACCUCACACCAUGAGGUAGUACCCUCACACCAAAACUCAUUCAGACAUGUUGCGUUUGUGUGUAAAGAGGAGCUCGUUUUACCGCUCCCCUCUCGGUGCUGUGGCGAGUGUGCUGAUCUGUGCCCAGAGACUCUUCUUUAGAAAGUCUUUUUGUGCAAAUAAUUAAAGAUGGGUUGAAUAAAUUUGCCUGCUUACUUCUUUUCAUUGUUUUGACAGCAUAAUGGAUGUAAUUGCAUGUUGAUAACCGGUUUUUGGGACUUGUUAUCUUAGCAUUAUCAUUAGAGUAGUACCGGUUAAUUACAUUACUCACCGUAUAAUUACUUUAGUGGGACAACAAGAUGAGGGCAAUUGUGCAAUAGUAGCACAGGUCAG